GAAACUUAGGAUAACACAAACCGAAGGCCUUCAAAG
rnacentral:tRNA from 2 species